CGUGUAGGCGGUUUGUUAAGUCUGGUGUGAAAGCCCUGGGCUCAACCUGGGAAGUGCAUUGGAUACUGGCAAACUUGAGUACGGGAGAGGAUAGUGGAAUUUCGAGUGUAGGGGUGAAAUCCGUAGAUAUUCGAAGGAACACCAGUGGCGAAGGCGACCACCUGGGCUGAUACUGACACUGAGGUGCGAAAGCGUGGGGAGCAAACA
rnacentral:rRNA from 1 species